GAAUGGGGCAUGAAUGGGUUCUGGGGUGUGUGUGUGUUAUGGGGCACGACUGUGGCAGUGGGGCGUGUGUGGGUGUCCCCACGUGUCCCCAAGUGUGUCCCCCCCCCCCUCCCCUUGGGCCCAUGGCGGUGCCAGCAGCGGGCGGCACAAUGCGGCACAAUGUCCCCAUUCACAGCACGGGGACGGGGACACGCGCGGCGCUGGCCGCAGCCAACCCACAGAUGUGGGGCGCGGGAACCCCAACCCCAAAUACAUGGGGCACACCAACCCCCAAACCCCAUAGAUUUGGGACUCAAGACCCCCGACCCCAAACAUAUGGGGCUCACCGACCCCAAACCCCAUAGAUUUGGGACUCAAGACCCCAAAUCCCAAACAUAUGGGGCACACUGACCCCAAACCCCAUAGAUUUGGCACUCAAGACCCCAAACCCCAAACAUAUGGGGCUCACCGACCCCAGACCCCCUUCGGACCCCAAACCCCAUAGAUUUGGGACUCCAGACCCCAAACCCCAAACAUAUGGGGCACACCGACCCCAAACCCCAUAGAUCUGGCACUCCAGACCCCAAACCCCAAACAUAUGGGGCUCACCGACCCCCCCUACCCCCUCCAGACCCCAAACCCCAAAUCUAUGGGGCCGGCUGAUCCCUUGUUCCGCGGCCCCACCCCCC
rnacentral:lncRNA from 1 species